GAAAGGGAAAGCUGAGCCGGACGCUUCUGGGUUGGGGAUAUCCUAAGGGUUGGCCGUGAGGGUGGCUCAUCUUCGAGGAAGCCGACCGGGCAAACGUCCGGCUUGUAAUGCAAUCCCAUUAGGAUUGUUACUUUUGAUAUUAGGAGAGUCCGAUUCCGAAGAAGCGCUCCACUCCAUGCAAGAGGGGUCUUGCUUGAUACAUUCUCGAGAGGAGGGAAACUUAGUUUUGAGGCAGAUCCCCCUCCCCCGCAAGGACAUAACCCUAUAAAGAUAAAAAAAAAACUACCUCUGAACAGGAUUGCAAACCAAAAAUAUGGGGUUAACCUACUGCAAAAUUGUGCCCUGUGAGGUGUCUUCCCGUCCCAUCCCCCAGAAUAAUUUGAUAUACUGACCAAUCUUCAAUCUUUAAGGGCUGACCCACCCUGGACUAGUAUCAAGCCUGCCUGCACAACUCCAGAGCUAAUUAGGUUCAAACUAAAGUCACUGUUAAAAAAAGCUUAUGCUGCAUUUGACCAUGCUAAUGGAAAUUGUAAUAGAAUUUCUCACAAUUCGAGCAAUUUCAAAAGAGGGAACUUUUUCUUCAUUUUGUUUUUAUUUUUAAAAAAGAAUACUGGAAAGGUUACAGAAGAUAACUCCAGUUUUAUGGCUGCCAUCUGAAUUUAGGUGACUGUCUGCCCUGGCCCCACUUCUCAGAUUGUGUUUCACACUUCAGUCCAAAUUGGCAAGAUAUGUUGAAGAUUUGAAGUAAAUGGUGAGGUUAAUCUGGGGAAGUUAAUCCUGCAGUAUAUAAUUUAUAAACAUGAGGAAAAUGCUACAGAGAGCAUUCAGAAAGACAGUUCCUUAUGGUACCCAACGAAAUAUGGAAAGGCUAGCUAUAAGGUCAAAAGUUCAAAGGGAAUAUUUGCUCCUAGUCUGUGAGAUGAGAACAAAGACAACCAGAAGUCCAGCAAAACCACAAGCAAAGAUGGUUCCGUUUGAUCCUAAUAUGAAGAUUGUAGAUCUCUUAAAAGUGCAAAAACACAGUUUGGAUAUGAACUUGUAUACAACUACAGUAUACUAUUAAUUAUCCUCUAAUGUUAUUUAACUAUCGUACUCCAUAUUUUUCUCCUUUUUUCUCUUUUGCUACACACAAUCACAAACACCCACACACGUUGUAGUGUUUCCUACUUCAUGAUUUUGAAGAGACAGAACAAUAAUUUCAAGCACUGAUAAGUCCCAGCAAGGCAGUUACUAACCAUAAGGUUCCCUCCCCCCAAGACAUUACAGAAACAAAGCUCUCACUUGUGUUUUUGUUCAGCCUUAAAGAAGGAUUGUUUCAGAGAAAACUAUCUCAACUUACAGAAAUACUGAGG